UCCCCAGGUAGGAAAGACUGGCCCCAUAACAUAUAAAGAUGUAUUUGUAUGCCCGUACAAAGUUUCACGUUUUCCACCUGGUCCAUCCCCAAAGACAGGCCCAUGCUAAGAGACCUGCUGCAGACAUCUACUCCAGAAAACCGCAUCAGGGAGCGGAUAGCAGUAGGGACAAAAUGGCUGCUCGUGCCCGGCGUUCUGUGUCAGUCGAGCCUGAUAUCUGGCACUCCCUGACUAAGGACGUGGUGGAGGAGAGCACUCCCUGACUAAGGACGUGGUGGAGGAGAGCACUCCCUGACUAAGGAUGUGGUGGAGGAGAGCACUCCCUGACUAAGGACGUGGUGGAGGAGAGCACUCCCUGACUAAGGACGUGGUGGAGGAGAGCACUCCCUGACUAAGGACGUGGUGGAGGAGAGCACUCCCUGACUAAGGACGUGGUGGAGGAGAGCACUCCCUGACUAAGGACGUGGUGGAGGAGAGCACUCCCUGACUAAGGACGUGGUGGAGGAGAGCACUCCCUGACUAAGGACGUGGUGGAGGAGAGCACUCCCUGACUAAGGACGUGGUGGAGGAGAGCACUCCCUGACUAAGGACGUGGUGGAGGAGAGCACUCCCUGACUAAGGACGUGGUGGAGGAGAGCAUUCCCUGCAGGACACAGGAAAGGAUGAGGCCGUCCACAGCCAGGCAACACAGGCAUGAAUACUCCAGAUAUGACCCUUGAACACAAUCAGUUUGGGAGUAGGAAAGUGUCAAGUCAUGUCAAGGUGACUGUGGUGCUGGCUUACUGUGAUGAUGAUGAUUAAGAUGGUGAUGAUGAUAAUGAUGGAGAUGAUGGUAAUGAUGGAGAUGAUGAUGGUGAUGAGGAUGAUGGAGGUGAUGAUGAUAGUGCCUCAGGCAGUGUGGGGAUCACAGAUGUCCAGCUGCAGGGUCUGUUAAUGAGGCUGGGAAACUCCUCCCAGAGAGAGCAGGACAUCGGGGGGGUUCCAUCUCCAGCAGAACGUAGCAGGACGUCCCAUCGCAGAGUUCCUCUUCCCUCCCAGAACACUCCUCCAGCCAGCUAGUUCUGUUACAGUAGGCCUGUGAUGAAAACACAGACAUCAUUCUAGGAGGUGGCUUAUGCUUUGACAGAGGGUUUGUGAAGUCGACUCAGUUUUGAACUGUGCUGUAAGGUUUGGUCUGAAGCCUCUGGAAGGAAGACACCGAGCCCAGGGAGGUUGGGUUGGGUUGGAGCGCAUCAUGUUGGGACCAGAGUGCGCCACAGUCCAAUGCAAAGACAAUGGCCAAGUGACAACACUGAGGGGUGAAGGAUGAUUGAGAGACUGAAAGUAUAUAAUUGAUCCAGGACUACAUUAUUUGCACUUUAUCACAUAAUUAAUGGAAACAAUACAUUUCCUACAAGUCUCUCUAUAUGUUAGUACUUGUAUGUUAGCAUUGAAUGUGCUGUAUACAUAACAUAUGAUGAUCUGCAUACUCUGGGCCAUAGCAUGGUACACACCUGCACGCUGUACUAGGGUAAAGCCACACCAGGCCUGGGCUGAACAUCAUGAAAAAGUAGAGAGCUGCAGAGAGGACACUUUGUCCUGUGAAGAGGCAAGCAUCCCUUCUACAGAGAUCAACUGCCCUGACAAAACACCCUUUCUUCUGAUUAAAAGGAAGAAGCAUGUGUGUAGGGUGUGCCACAGUCCAUGGACCCAGAAUCCUUCAUCCUUCCUGCUCCCCCUGUGCUCUGCUAGACUUCCGGGUCUAGCCCCAGAGCAACUCUGCAAGGCCACACACCGGUACAGACCUCCAUAGUUAAAGUCAGAACUCUACUCCGUCAUUGAAUGUAAUUCAUUUUUUCUUCCUGAUUCCUUAAUUGAAUUUAGAAUGUGUGACACAUUGAACUUGAGAGAUAAGUGUAUCAUAGUAUGGUUCUCAAAGUCAAACUAUGUGUGUACCAUCACAUCCAGCCGGUGUCCAGGUCAUAAGACCUGCCAUCCUACGUUCCCAGCAGACUGGAGCAGGAGGAGGGCCUGUUCAACUAGCAGGCGUAUGUAGAUAUUACACAUGCUCAUUUUUUUUGUAACUGGUAAUUUUGUGGAUAGAGAAACUAUAUGAUUCAGUAGGGGACAAUUCAAAGUCGGUGUCAGUAACAUCCCACUGGGCACAGAUAUAAAUUCAAUGUUUAUUUAACUGAAAUGAAGUGUAAACAAUGUUUAUUUAACCAGUGUGUGCCGAGUGGGAUGACCAUUACCCAGAGUACAGUAAACAUAUGGUUUCUGUGUGUGUUGAGUGUCAGCCCUCUGUAGGAGGAAUGAUGUUCCUUGGCCCUCAGCUCCCCCCCUGCACCUCCCCCCUCCAGCAGUACCGCAUUGCAGCUACACUCCACACCACAACAGGGUUAUCACUGCUUCGAUGCAUAAAAGUCAAGAGGUAGCUACUGCUGCACAGGCACAUGACUGUCCAGGGACUACGGACAUGAGACUGAAACCACCUUGGGCAAGCAGCAGAAACAGAGCCCCACUCUAAUCUUCAUCUGUCCUCCUACAGUUUCAUUAGAUCUAUUUUACAGAAGAUCCACUGUACUGUCAGCUUUGGCAUCUAUUGGUUGCCUGUUUAAAUACAUUGUACAUGGUUAAAUGGUCACAAAUGUCAACAUUACUCAAUUGGAUAAAAUAAAAAAAUAUAUGUUUUGUUUUAAAUAGGCAGGUUGCAAGUUGGGAUGUAUUUUAUUUUCCUCCAGGUCAGAGGUGUAAGAAAUUAAAAUGUAUUAUUCUCAGUAAAAAUUCUUACUAAAUCCUGUCCUUUAUCGAAAAGCAUUCCAUGUCAUUUAAAAAGAGAGUCAAUUGACAAGAUCAAGGUGCUUCUACAUCUGCAUUGCUUGCCGUUUGGGAUUUUAGGCUGGGUUUCUGUACAGGACUUUGUGACAUCUGCUGAUGUAAAAAGGGGUUUAUAAAUACAUUUGAUUCAUUGACUGAACCAAACCAAGACAAAAACACAGAGGAUGGAACAGGGUCAAGGGGAAGCACCACAACAGUGUAAGUGGAUCUAGAGCUGUUCCCCACCACGUCAAUCAUCCAAAUUCCAUCUCCUGUUUAUUCUCACGUAACAAAACAACAACUCCCCAAUACUAACUCUAACCCCCCCCCCCGGAACUUCGUUUUGUUCUUU